UGAAUUAGGUCCCUCAACUUCAAAUGCCCAAUGAUCCCUGACAGAAGGAUGCAAUUCCCACAGAGCAAAAGCCCCCAAAUUGGCUGGUGCCAUUGAGUUCAAUGAUGUGAAAACCCUGCUAAAAGAGUGGAUAACUACAAUUUCUGAUCCUAUGGAGGAAGAUAUAUUACAGGUGGUGAAAUAUUGCACUGAUUUAAUAGAAGGAAAGGACUUGGAGAAAUUAGACUUGGUCAUAAAAUACAUGAAAAGGGUAAUGCAGCAGUCUGUGGAGUCUGUUUGGAAUAUGGCAUUUGACUUCAUUCUGGACAAUGUCCAGGUGGUUUUACAGCAGACCUAUGGAAGCACAUUGAAAGUUGUUUGAUCUUCAUCCUGGGGCAGAGGAGCCUGGUAUCCUUGCCUACCUGUACCAUAA